CAAUCUUGGUAGCCAGCCAACUCCAUAUUCAAGAUGACCCAACUAAUUGAGUGAUCUAUAAGACAGGGACAGUAUGCUGAUGAGAUAGAAUUAUUGCAACAAUGUUUGGCAUCUCCAAAGACAUCUAUCCAUCACCAAGUAGAGGUCCAAGACCAGCCUUAGAUAGAGGAUCUGCAGUCUCCAGUUAAAGGUGAAUCCCCCAAGAAAGGCUCAUCAUCUCCAAAGACAUCUACCCAUCAACAAGUACAUUGUGCGUCCAAGACC